rnacentral:rRNA from 1 species
AAUGAACGUUGGCGGCGUGGAUUAGGCAUGCAAGUCGUGCGCGAUGAGUUUCUUGCUUGCAUUAAACUCUGAAAGCGGCGAAAGGGAGAGUAACGUGUGGUUACAUGCCCAGGGGUCCAGGAUAGCGUCGGGAAACUGGCAGUAAUACUGGAUGAUAUCUAAGGAUCAAAGGUGUGAUUCCGCCCUUGGAUUGGACCGCAUACUAUUAGCUUGUUGGUGAGGUAAUGGCUCACCAAGGCUGCGAUGGUUACCGGGUGUGAGAGCAUGGCCCGGCUCACUGGGACUGAGACACUGCCCAGACACCUACGGGAGGCUG